rnacentral:lncRNA from 1 species
AUGAGAGUGGAAUGGGCAGGGCUUUCCCUCUCCUUCUCUAACUUUAGGCAGCUGGUAAACUGUACUAAUUGCCACCGGAUUCUGAUACCUUGUGUACCUGGCUCCUGGUUCUGCAAGCAAAUGCUGAGAAAUGAAGUGGCGAACCGAACCAAAGGAAGAGGUGUGAAACCACCAGGCCUCCCAAGCCAGGGUGAGGGUGAUGGAGGUGCCAGUACUCUCAGCAUGCCAGUCUUCAGAGGAGCCCUGCCUUCCAGGAGUUGGGCGGGUACAGGAAGGAGUCCCUGGACUCAUCCAUUGGGCAGCUGCUGGGAUUCAGCAGCAGGCGCUGAGGCCUGAAGAGAGAUCCUGACAUCUGCUCCCUUCUGGAGAAGGCGGGGCCUGGGUGUGGAGGGGAGCGGAGCCCUUGGAUCCUGGCUACUGCAUAUGGAGCAGCCCCACCUCAUGGAGCUGGAAGGGAAGAGGGAGGCAGGAGUUAGGUUCUUGAAAUGGAUGUUCCUUCCUUUGCUGUUUGUUUCCACAGGCUUUAAAUUGCCAGUCUGUCUGUCUGUCUCUCUCUCUUUCUCUCUCUCUCUCUCUCUCUCUCUCUCUCACACACACACACACACACACACACACACACAUACACACAGUUACUGUUUUCACUAAGGAGCGCCUUGUGCCAUCAUGCCAGAAGUCAGCCUCCUGUGUGUUUCAAUUAGAUGUUUUAUGCAUGCAAAUUAAAGAUUUUGUUCACAGUGCACACAUUUUCUAUCUCUGUUAGAGUCUAACAUUUUAUCGUAUUUCAGGAACGUUUUUUUAAAGGAAACAGAACAUUAGAUAGAUUUGAAUGCCUCCUAUAUAUCUUCCUAUCUGUAAUUUGGUAUUUAUGCAUGUAUUUUACAUAUUUAAUUUUCCCCUUUCCAUUAAUAAUAUCUAAGCAUCGUUAUUUAUUUUUUUAUGUCCUCAUCAAUGCUUGUAGUUGUCAGACUUCUCAUUUUUGGCAAUCCCAUGGGUGAUAUUUAAUAUUCUUUUGGAGUUCCUAGGAAGAGCAGAUAAGACAGAAAAUGAAAUGAAAAAUGUGAAGAUUGAAAAGGAAGAAAUAAAGCGGGGCUGUUUGGAAAUGAUAGGGUGGUCUACCCUAAGAGGCGAUAUAGCCAAAUUAUUAGAAAACGUCUUUGUUUGGGAAAUUUGUCUGUUAAUUCUAAUAAUUUGUCUCUAGUUCUGGCCUCAAGUUACAAUUUAACCCUAGUAGGGAGCGUGUUUACUUCCGACCUGGGUGGGGCCUGAGGAGGUCCCUCUAAAGGGAGAUAGGGACCUCACAGCCUCUGCAGCAGGCUGUAGGUUCCCUGACUUACAUCACGGAGAAGAGCUGCCGGAGAUCGCUGAGAGGCACAGAGAGACUGACCAGGCAGAAAGAAGCCCACAGUCAGAGCAGCUGCUGGCUCAUAGAAUGAGACACAUCAUGGGCUGGGGCCGGGAGGUUCUGGGUGAUUUGGGGCAAGUUCAAGAUGGGUGGGGUCGGGUAGGACCCCCCUGUCUGUCAGGUUGCAGGCUUAGUGGGCUCCGACAGAAUGCAAGCCCCUUGCAUGUCUGAAGGUUAGAGAUACGGCGCCCAGUUAACAGUGCUGCUCUUUGGAGGGUGGAAGUUUGUGGGAGGAAAAGGUAGACUCGGUUCACAGGGGAGAAUUGUGGGCCCCAUUUACAGGGUUAUUGUAUCUGGAAGACCUUGGAGAUUUGGGGUAAGUUUCCUGGAGGGGAGAAGCAAGCAUUGUAAUCUUGGGUAAUUUUGAUUGAGUCCUGAAACUGCAGGUUUCUUAAAAGUACAAUUUAAAAAUUAUGAGUCUUCUUUUCUCCUUUGUACCUGUCUUUAUUUCUUCCAUUUAGCCUCAUUCCUGUUGCAUAUGCUGCUUCCUGUUUCCCAGGAAAUGUCUCCAGUGUUUUCCUUUUAUGAUGUUUACUGUAGUGGGAAGGCAUUUGCUGAAUUAAGGAGAUUGUUUCUGUACCUCCUGUUUAGUUGUAAAUUGAUGUUUAAUUUAAUCCUUUGCUCUAUCUUUGAGAUUACAUGGUUUUGAUUUUUUAAUGUCUGUCAUGAAUUAUACUAAAAGAUAGUCAUUUGAUAUACACCUUUGCUUUCCUGAGGGAAGUGAAACCAGAUUUGUCAUGCUAGAUUUGAUUUACUCUUUUUUUGCCUUUAAGAUUUUUGCAACUACAUUUCUUUUUUUUUUUUGGUACGGGGAUCGAACUGAGGACCUUGUGAGGCAGGCGGCGGCACCACUGAGCUAAAUCCCUGGUCUGCAACUACAUUUCUAAAGGAGUUGCUAUGAAACUUGUUUUCAUAUUAUUCUUGUUUGAGUUUAAAAAUAAAGUUUUUAACAAUCAGAAAAUAAAUUUUGGAUUAUUUCCUCUUUUUUAUUUCCCUAGAACAUUAUGUAACAUCGAGAGUCUAUUCUCAUAAUGUUUGGUAGAAUCAGUCUGUAAAAUUAUUUGUGCCUUAUGAUGUUUUUUG